CUGCAGCCCGAGUGGAGAUCGAUUUUAUUGAGCCUAAAGCGACCGUAGCCGGACUAGUAAACCCUUGGGUAAAUUGGGCAGCUUAACUGUCCAAAUUCCGAGAGGACUGCUAGUCUUGGGACCGGGAGAGGUCAGAGGUACUCAAGGGGUAGGGGCUAAAUCCUGUAAUCCUUUGGGGACCACCAGUGGCGAAGGCGUCUGACUAGAACGGAUCCGACGGUAAGGGACGAAACCCUGGGGCGCGAACCGGAUUAGAGACCCGAGUAGUCC
rnacentral:rRNA from 1 species